UUCAAAAACUAACUAGUAAUU
rnacentral:piRNA from 1 species